GCUGUGGAACUCCUACGGGAGGCAGCAGUGGGGAAUCUUGGACAAUGGGCGCAAGCCUGAUCCAGCCAUGCCGCGUGAGUGAAGAAGGUCUUCGGAUUGUAAAGCUCUUCUGCCAGGGACGAUAAUGACGGUACCUGGAGAAUAAGCCCCGGCAAACUACGUGCCAGCAGCCGCGAUAAUACGAAGGGGGCUAGCGUUGCUCGGAAUCACUAGGCGUAAAGGGUGCGUAGGCGGGUCUUUAAGUCAGGGGUGAAAUCCUGGAGCUCAACUCCAGAACUGCCUUUGAUACUGAGGAUCUUGAGUUCGGGAGAGGUGAGUGGAACUGCGAGUGUAGAGGUGAAAUUCGUAGAUAUUCGCAAGAACACCAGUGGCGAAGGCGGCUCACUGGCCCGAUACUGACGCUGAGGCACGAAAGCGUGGGGAGCAAACAGGAUUAGAAACCCCUGUAGUCCUACCACGU
rnacentral:rRNA from 1 species